UGGGGAAUCUUGCGCAAUGGCCGAAAGGCUGACGCAGCGACGCCGCGUGGAGGAUGACGCCCUUCGGGGUGUAAACUCCUGUUGCCCGGGACGAAUACCCGUUUCGACGGGGGUGACGGUACCGGGUGAGGAAGCACCGGCUAACUCUGUGCCAGCAGCCGCGGUAAUACAGAGGGUGCGAGCGUUGUCCGGAAUCACUGGGCGUAAAGGGCGCGUAGGCGGCUGGGUAAGCGGGUGGUGAAAGCCCGGGGCUCAACCCCGGGUCGGCCAUGCGAACUGUCCAGCUGGAGCACGGUAGAGGCACAUGGAAUUCCGGGUGUAGCGGUGGAAUGCGUAGAGAUCCGGAAGAACACCGGUGGCGAAGGCGGUGUGCUGGGCCGUGGCUGACGCUGAGGCGCGACAGCGUGGGGAGCAAACA
rnacentral:rRNA from 1 species